AUUAGGGUUCGAUUCCGGAGAGGGAGCCUGAGAAACGGCUACCACAUCUAAGGAAGGCAGCAGGCGCGCAAAUUACCCAAUCCUAAUACAGGGAGGUAGUGACAAGAAAUAACAAUACAGGACUUUUUGGUUUUGUAAUUGGAAUGAGUUAAGUAUAAACCCCUUUACAAGUAUCAAUUGGAGGGCAAGUCUGGUGCCAGCAGCCGCGGUAAUUCCAGCUCCAAUAGCGUAUAUUAAAGUUGUUGCAGUUAAAAAGCUCGUAGUUGGAUUUCUGUUAAUAAUUUAUAUAAUAUAUUUUGAUGAAUAUUUAUAUAAUAUUAACAUAAUUCAUAUUACUAUUUUUUUUUAGUAUAUGAAAUUUUACUUUGAGAAAAUUAGAGUGCUUAAAGCAGGCAUAUGCCUUGAAUACUCCAGCAUGGAAUAAUAUUAAAGAUUUUUAUCUUUUUUAUUGGUUCUAAGAUAAGAAUAAUGAUUAAUAGGGACAGUUGGGGGCAUUUGUAUUUAACAGUCAGAGGU
rnacentral:rRNA from 1 species